rnacentral:hammerhead_ribozyme from 1 species
AUCCAGCUGACGUCUCUCAAAAUAGGACGAAACGCGCGUCCUGGAU